GCUACCGUUGUAAACGUGAGGAGAUAUAACACAGUAUUCGUUAGAGUUGAGGUAUUCAACUGCUAAAACUGCAAGAGGACAUCAGGUGGACGUCCCCUUCUUGCUGUUUCUGGACCUAUUCUCUCCACAUCUUCCCUCACACACCGUGGACCCCAUGCGGGUCUUGGUCCUGGCCUGCAGCAGGCCGUAAAGGACCCGGUCGUCGGGUCUCUCUGAGUGGCUCCGGUCGCCGGGCUCACUCCACAGUUCUUUGGCUUGCAGAACAACUUCUUUGGUUCUUCAAGCUGAGAUUCCAGUGGGCCCAGCCACGGCUCCACGUCCAGGAGAGGGUUGUCCUCCAGAUCGCAAGCAAGAGUCCGGUCAGAGACGCUCUGGCAGAUGGCAGCGC